rnacentral:lncRNA from 1 species
AUGAAAUCGAUUUCACCUGACACUAUCAAACACGCGUUCCGAACAUGCGGAAUUUCGGAAAAUGGAGAGGUGGUUCUGAUGGAAGACUUAAACUACCGUCUGAGAGGGAUCCUGGCAGGCACCGGUACAAUUCAAGAAACUGAGGAUACGGUUGCUGAAAGAAGUGAUAAGUCUGAUGAAAGUAUUGAGACUGAAGUUCCAGUUACUGACAGUUAGUCUUGUGACAGUGAUCAAUCUGAAGGAAGUACCUGUAGUGAAGAGAUGUGAAAGAUAAGGACUGAUACCAGUAAUACGAAACUUGGAUCUACCGAUAAAGUGCCAUAUACGGUAGAUAAGAUGUGAAAAUUACUGUUUGUGUUCCAAAUGUACAAUACUAUUUAUGUUG